GGAUUUUCACAUUGAGAAAGGGAAAAGCAGCCCUGGAUAUCUGGGAACUGGACUGGUACUAUUAUUUAUCCUGUGGUAUUGCCAGGAGUAUUCACAGCUGGGCAGUGGUAUGCUCUUAUUGAACAUAAACAGAAUAUGGGCAUCAGAUACCACACUGUAAUCAUGAUGGAUCAAGAGAAAAUGUGAGCAGUGUGUUAUUAUAUUGAAUGCAGACAAAAACCUUGAAAAUCGUUCAAACCACAUAAAUGGCAUUUUCCUCUCCUAGUUGGAACAUGAAUAACUGCUGUUUUUUUUUUUUUUUUUAACCCAUCAGAGCUUUGGCAUCACUCUCCUAUCACCUUCUGGAUAAGAUUUAUUAAGAUACCAGUUGUGCGGUUGUCCCCACUUUCUCGUAGCAUCCAAUGCCGAGCAAAGCCCUGCUUCCUUGAAUCCUCUCCAGAAAUACCUCACAUAAGUCCAACUCCUAAGUCUUUUUUAAUAUCUGAUUAUUGUGAUAGCUCAUAGUUCCCUAUAAUGUGUAUUUUAGUUCUUUUAAUUAAUCAGUAAGCCAAACUUGUUAAGCCACAGUUGUUUUCCUUAGGGUCUUUGCCUGUAAGGCAUUGACAGAAAUUGAAGUUUGCCAAGAUUCAGCUAAAACCAGGUGAGACCUUUUUGCCUCAGAGCAGGAUCCUUGAGUCAGUGAGAAUGUGCGUAUCUGAGACCUUUUGUGUGUCUACCUGUUUAGGUGCCAACUUGCCCAUGGCUGAGUGGAAAGUUAAUGUACAAUGAGCCCCAAUAUUCAAUGAAGCUUCUUUGUGUUUGGUUUAUUUUUCCUAAUUUUAAGGUGCUCUGGUACUUUUUCUUGAUCUGAUCAGAUUUGUAUUGUUCCUCAUUGAAUUUUUCUGGCCUAACACCAGCUUCUAUGGUCCCUCUGCUUGUCUAGUGUUUGUGUGUUUAUAAGAAGAAGUUUCUUUAGGAAAUAGACUUGUAUAGGCCUGAGAAGGAAAAUGAACUGAGGUUCAGAGACCUGUGGGACAACAUCAAGUGAAUCUACACAUGUGUAGUGGGAAUGAAAAGGAGAGAGAAAGAGGAAAAAACUAUUUGAAGACAUAAUGGCUGAGAACUUCCAAAAUGUAAUUAAAAAAAACAUUAACCUACACACUCAAAAAGCUCAACAAACUACAAGUAGGAUAAAUACAAAGAAUACAUACCUAGACACAUUGUAGUCAAACUGUUGAAAGCCAAAACUGGAAACUCUUGAAAGCAGCAGGAAAAAAAUAACUCAUCACAUACAAGAGAGCAGCAAUGCCUUAGUGGCUGACUUCUCAUCAGAAACUAUGGAAUCCAAAAGGCAAUGGAAUGACAUAUUUUAAGUGCUGAAAGAAACAAAAGUCUUGCCAACCAAUAACUUUAUACCCAGCAAAACUAUCAUUCAAAUCAUGCAGGCAAAAUAAAGAAAUUCUCAAAUAAACAAGGACUGAAAUCAUUGCUACCAGACUUACCUGAUAAGAAAUUCAAAAGAAAUUCUUUCAGGCUGAAAGCAAAUGAUAUCAGACAGUACUCAAAGUCAAAAGAAGAAAUGAAGAGCAUCAGAAAUGGUUAACAUGUGGACAGAUGCAUGGAUAGACAGAUAUAUUUCUCCAAGAUUUAAUAGACUGGAAUCAGACCUCAUACCAGAUUUAUCAAUAUUGCAAAAACAAACGAUUAAUUCUGUGAGAAAACAGUUGGAUAGGCUGUAUAUUUACCGCUCCUAACACGCCCGGUUAUGUCAAACCUUGGAGUCAGGCAUCCACAGGUGCGAUUUCUAAAACAGCCACCAAAGCAGUUGCUGCCUGGUCUAAGACCUGGAGAUAUGGUCCUCUGAAAAAGGCAUCAGAGAAAAACUGCCCUUGACUCUCAAGGAGAAAAGACUCUAUCAAGUAUUGUCAAUGAUUAACACAGUCAAACUCCAAGGUGUUGGUCUUUAGGCUUAUGUUGCUUGACUUAAAAGACGGACAUUUGCAUUGCAGUAGAUAAGGAGCUCUUGCACACAGAAAGCCUUUGGGAUGAAAAGAGAGCAUUUCCGACUACAAGAAAUACAUGAGGCGAGGAUAUCUGGGGGCCGGAUAAACAAAGAUCUCCUUUAAAUAACUUGCAAAGACAGUCCUGUCCUCAGCAGCCUGGGGCUCCCAGAUGUCAGAUUACAUAUCUGGUGUAAUUGAAAAUCCACCUGGAGGCAAGCAGUUGUUUACUUGGCAUUCUGGACAGCUUUACCACCAGCCCAAUGCAGAUGCUACCUCAGAAGAGCCCCCUAAAGCAAACAAAGGGUUUUUAUUUUCCCCAUCACUUUGAAAAACAACAUCUUUAUAAUUCCAAAAUGCAAUGGGUCGGAACAUUUUAAUUCCAAUUAACUUGUAGUUUUCUUUUUUUCUAAAAUAAAUUUGAAGAACAAUGGCUAAUGAGCUGCUGUACAAUAUUUGUCCUUGGCAGAGAAUGACACUCAUGGAACACUUAA
ensembl:lncRNA